AGUGAACGCUGGCGGUAGGCCUAACGCAUGCAAGUAGAACGGCAGCACAGUAAGAGCUUGCUCUUACGGGUGGCGAGUGGCGGACGGGUGAGGAAUACAUCGGAAUCUACUUUUUCGUGGGGGAUAACGUAGGGAAACUUACGCUAAUACCGCAUACGACCUACGGGUGAAAGCAGGGGAUCUUCGGACCUUGCGCGAUUGAAUGAGCCGAUGUCGGAUUAGCUAGUUGGCGGGGUAAAGGCCCACCAAGGCGACGAUCCGUAGCUGGUCUGAGAGGAUGAUCAGCCACACUGGAACUGAGACACGGUCCAGACUCCUACGGGAGGCAGCAGUGGGGAAUAUUGGACAAUGGGCGCAAGCCUGAUCCAGCCAUACCGCGUGGGUGAAGAAGGCCUUCGGGUUGUAAAGCCCUUUUGUUGGGAAAGAAAAGCAGCAGGUUAAUACCCCGCUGUUCUGACGGUACCCAAAGAAUAAGCACCGGCUAACUUCGUG
rnacentral:rRNA from 1 species